rnacentral:rRNA from 1 species
UACCACAUCCAAGGAAGGCAGCAGGCGCGCAAAUUACCCAAUCCCGACACGGGGAGGUAGUGACAAUAAAUACUGAUACAGGGCUCUUUUGGGUCUUGUAAUUGGAAUGAGUACAAUUUAAAUCCCUUAACGAGGAACAAUUGGAGGGCAAGUCUGGUGCCAGCAGCCGCGGUAAUUCCAGCUCCAAUAGCGUAUAUUAAAGUUGUUGCAGUUAAAAAGCUCGUAGUUGAACCUUGGGCCUGGCUGGCCGGUCCGCCUCACCGCGUGUACUGGUCCGGCCGGGCCUUUCCUUCUGGGGAACCUCAUGCCCUUCACUGGGCGUGUUGGGGAACCAGGACUUUUACUUUGAAAAAAUUAGAGUGUUCAAAGCAGGCCUUUGCUCGAAUACAUUAGCAUGGAAUAAUAGAAUAGGACGUGUGGUUCUAUUUUGUUGGUUUCUAGGACCGCCGUAAUGAUUAAUAGGGAUAGUCGGGGGCAUCAGUAUUCAAUCGUCAGAGGUGAAAUUCUUGGAUUGAUUGAAGACUAACUACUGCGAAAGCAUUUGCCAAGGAUGUUUUCAUUAAUCAGUGAACGAAAGUUAGGGGAUCGAAGACGAUCAGAUACCGUCGUAGUCUUAACCAUAAACUAUGCCGACUAGGGAUCGGACGGUGUUAGUAUUUUGACCCGUUCGGCACCUUACGAGAAAUCAAAGUUUUUGGGUUCUGGGGGGAGUAUGGUCGCAAGGCUGAAA